ensembl:lncRNA
UUUUUUCCCCUGCGAACUUUGGGUAAAAAGAUAUCCAAAUAUUAUAAUUGCCAUUUCUUCUUGCAAGUCGUCGCCAUUUGUUUACUCUAAAGUCACGUUUGUCCACGCGAGAUUUCCCGCAUUUACAGUCGUGAUUUUUAAUUUUGAUUUGAAAAACAAACAAACAAAAAAAUACACACUAUAGGAACAAAACUGUUAAAUCUAUGUGUUUUUUUUAUUUUAUUUUAUUUAUUUUUUUGUUAGUGGUAUGCCUUAAUCGUGUUAAUAAACAGUCUACAAAUAUUAGUAACACAUCAGUUAAUGUUGGACUAGUCUAAACUUUACAAUAAGUUUCACCAAUUAAUUCCCUUAAAUAACCCUUUGAUAGUAGUAAGUCAUGUUAAUAAACAGUCUAAAAUAAAGCCCUGCAUUUCAGCCCGAGCCCUACGGGCCCCGACUUAUUUAUGCCCCUAGGGCCGGGCUUCGGGCCAAUUUUCACGUUAUAGCUCACAUGCGGGCCGGGCAUCGGGCCUUUUUUGGGUUAUCCUUCUAUUUAUAUUUUCAGACAUUAAAUAAAAAAAAAUGAGAAGUUGACGUCGACGAUAGAAAAACAAACAUAGAAAGACAUUUCAUAACCUCAUACCAUUCAUAAUCUGAUAAUUCAACCCGUUAUAAUUAAACUGACAUACUGACAUGACAGUCUCACACACGCACGCGCGCACGCACGCUUUUCCGUCAGCGCGACCCACGAUUAUACUUCACUUAUAUCCACUUAUUGUAGUAGUAGCUAUUAUAGGCCUCUAAAGUAAUGUAAAUGUAAACAGCACGAGACCCUGCUACCGCAACUGUCAAGACUGGCUCGCUCUGUGUUUAGUGUCCCGUCAGCAGCAGCAGCAGCGAACGUGUCUUCAGCGCAGCGGGAAGAGUGAUAGAAGAGAGGAGGACUGGGUUAAAACCUUCCACUCUGGAGGCUAUUCUUUUUCUUCACGAUGCUCUGUAAGAGACUGUUCUAACUUUUCAUUUGACUGGACUUUAUUUUCGUUUAACUGUUGGAAACUAAUGGAAAAAAGAAUGGACAUAGGCCUAUUCUGUGGUGCAUUUUUGAGGUAAGAUAACCUGCAAGUUUGUUUUUAAUUAAUUUAAUUUGUUUAGAUUGUAGGCUAUUUCUCAUUUCGUUUGCGAGCGCUGUUGCGAGCCUGCCUCAGUAUUUCAAUUUUUUUAUUUUAUUUUACUCACUGUGGUUUAAUAAAUAAACAUUUAUUAAACUGUCUGUGUGAUAU